CUUGUUAAGAUUUGUCACAAAUUUGAUGGAGGUAACCAGUGUCGUUGCCGACUGUCCCAGACACUUCUGUGACAAACUCAGACUCAGCGAGCUAGAUCUGCAUGCACCAGAGGGGCGGGAAGGGCGGUGGAUUGGAUAUGUAUAUAUGUCAGCAUGUCAAGCAAUGUAUUAAAAUGUCAGCAUUGUCGCAUACUUUCAUUUUGGUUUCAGAGAAUUGCAAAUGCUUUAGUUUAUAUUAGCUGUUAAGAGUCCCAUUGAUUUGGAUGUCUGUAUUUCAAAUUAAAGUGGCAUCUCUGUCGGAAUGAAGCAAAAGUAAUACAAAAAUUUAGAUGACACCUGAGGCAGCCCAUUGAUUACUCGAAUACCACGAGCAUGAGUCGAGGUCUUUAUUUAUCGAAAUUUAUGACAGAGGAAGCACACAUCACAUUGACCACUUUAUUAGCAAGUAGCAACCAACUGAAGUAGAAGGGUAGACACACCACACUGACAAUUUUAGUGACAAACUAGUAGGGAAUGAAAUGGAAGCAGAAUCUGGAACCAAGCUGCUUCUCAGAGUCUAGAGGGGGCGCACGUAAACGCCAAUGGCCUCAACGAAUUCCCCACCACGUGCAAAGAAGCCCAUGAUGCCAUUGCCUGGCUGCACGGGGAUGGUGAAUGGAGCAUCCUUCUCCUUCCCGUCCCCCCAAGGCCCAUAGGUCUUGUUAAGGUUUGUCACGAAUUUGAUGGAGGUUAUCAACUUAUUGGUACCGCUGUAGGGGUUGCCCACAGUCCCGGAUACUUCUGUGACCACCUCAGACUCGCCAAGCUUGAUCUGCGUGCACCAACACCAUACCAAGAGGGGAGAAAAUGGUGGAUUAUAUUGGUCAUCACUCAUCAUAUAUAGACGUUUUCUUCUUUACGAAUCUGUCGAGCAAUCUACUACGUCAUCUACAAUGCACGUGGUCCACUUACCGUGUGAGGAUCUCCACCGGGACCGCCCCAGCGACCAGCUGAGUGCUUCUGGGCAGUGUAGUCGAUAUAGGAGAAUGCAAUGGAGUCCACGACCCAGCCAGUGUAAACGGUGAUGCUUUCGAGAGACCUGGGUGCUUCUAUGAUGUCCAUUGUUGACCCUCCACUCCCACCGAACAGCCCAAUUUUUGUGACUGGAUACUGUGUGUAUGCAAUAUAGGUAAUAUAUAAAGUUGUAUUAUUUUCUCAGAAGCAACUAAAAUAAAGCUACCGACUUGAUGAACAACUACUUGUAUAUAUAGUAACGUAUAAUUAAUUAUUGUGUGGCUA
rnacentral:lncRNA from 1 species